rnacentral:tRNA from 1 species
GGGGCCGUAGUCUAGCCUGGACUAGGAUGCGAGGCUUGGGCCCUCGUGGUCGCGGGUUCAAAUCCCGCCGGCCCCA